GAGUAAGCAAGGAUGAUGAUUCAAUUAGAUGUGUGAAUGGGGAAUCCUCCUUCAUGAACUUUAACUUUUUGAGGCAUUUUCAUAGAGACUGACUUGCUACUC
rnacentral:snoRNA from 1 species